rnacentral:rRNA from 1 species
GCUAGAGAACGCUCUCGGGGGAUGCCCGAGGUGCCAGAGGCCGAAGAAGGACGUGCGUAAGGCCGCGAGAACCACGGGGAGUUGCCUAACGAACGGUGAUCCGUGGAUGUCCGAAUGGGGCAACCCGGCGCGCCGGAAGGCGCGUCACCACCACUGGUGGGGGUAAGCACGCGAACUGAAACAUCUCAGUAGCGUGAGGAGAGAGAAGCAAGCGCGAGGCCGUGAGUAGUGGCGAGCGAAAGCGGUCGCAGCCUAAACCGCGUGGACUGAGUGGGUGUGCGCCCUAUGUUCACGCGGGGUUGUACGGAUCGAGUGGAGGCCCCGCGCAGGGCCUCGCGAACGCGUGCCAUCUAGGGGAAGCGGAUGGGAAGCCGCACCAUAGUGGGUGAGAGUCCCGUACCCGAAAGGUGGCGAGGCAUCGUGACGCGAUCUCGUAAGUACCGCCCUGCACGAGGAACGGGGCGGGAAGCCGGGGGGACCACCCUCCAAGGCGCGAGUACCUCUGGCAACCGAUAGGGAAGUAGUACCGUGAGGGAACGGUGAAAAGAACCCCGGCGAGGGGAGUGAAAGAGAGUCUGAAACCGAGAGCGUGCAGUCGGUCGGAGGGAGGAGCCGCAAGGUUCGUCCUGACGGCGUGCCUAUUGAAGAAUGAACCGGCGAGUGACCGGAUGUGGCGAGGUUAAGGGAGAGGAAUCCCGGAGCCGGAGCGCAAGCGAGUCUGAAUGGGGCGUGUCUCGUCACGAGACGGAGUCGCAUUCGGUCGACCCGAAACCAGGUGAGCUACCCAUGGCCAGGGUGAGGCGGGGGGACAACCCCGUGGAAGCCCGAACCGUCCCGCGUUGCAAAGCGGUUGGAAGAGCUGUGGGUAGAGGUGAAAUGCCAAACGAACUUGGAGAUAGCUGGUUCUCCCCGAAAUGCAUUGAGGUGCAGCCUGCGUCAUACGUGUGCAUCAGGUAGCGCUCUGUUGAGGCUAGGGGCCGUCGAGGCUACCGAACUUCGGCAAACGACGAAUGGGUGUACGCAAGACGCGGAGUGAGACGAUGGGGGCUAAGCUUCAUCGUCGAGACGGAAACAACCGAGACCGUCAGCUAAGGUCCCAAAAUACGGGCUAAGUGUUAAAGGAAGUGCGUGUGCGCAGACAGCCAGGAGGUUGGCUUAGAAGCAGCCAUCCUUGAAAGAGUGCGUAACAGCUCACUGGUCGAGUGUACGUGCGCCGACAAUUCACCGGGGCUCAAGCCCGUUACCGAAGCUGCGGAUUGGCGUGAUCUGCACGCCAGUGGUAGGGGAGCGUCCCCCAGGCCGGUGAAGCAUGCGUGGAAACGCGUGUGGAGGUACGGGGAGUGCGGAUGCCGGUAUGAGUAGCGAUAAGUGAGGUGAGAAGCCUCACCGCCGAAAGCCCAAGGUUUCCGACGCGAGGUACGUCCGCGUCGGGUUAGUCGGGCCUAAGCCGAGGGCGUAAGAGCCGUAGGCGAUGGGCAACGGGUUGAUAUUCCCGUACCGAUCUGAGAUUGCUUGACUGAAGCGGGGGAGCAUAGGGGUAGGCCGUGCACCGGUUUUAUGGAACGGUGUCUAAGCGUGUGGGCGGGCCGGAGGUAAAUGACCGGCUGAUGCUGAGGCGCGACGGAGCGGUGUUGGGCAACCAGCACUGUAGCGGUGGAGCUCGGGAUGCCAAGAAAAGCCGCGUAGGGAGAUUUCAGAUCGUCCGUACCGCAGACCGACGCAGGUGGGCAAGUGCGUAGUGCACUAAGGCGAACGGGUGAUCCUUCGUCAAGGAACUCGGCAAAAUGCCCCCGUAACUUCGGGAGAAGGGGGACCACGGGUAGGUAAGAGGAUCUCGCAUCCUCGAGCUGAGCGUGGGCGCAGAGAGCAGGCCCAGGCGACUGUUUACCAAAAACACAGGUCCCUGCUAAGCCGUAAGGCGCUGUAUAGGGGCUGACACCUGCCCAGUGCCGGAAGGUUAAGGGGAGGGCUGAUGAGGCCCGAGCCGAAGCCCCGGUGAACGGCGGCCGUAACUAUAACGGUCCUAAGGUAGCGAAAUUCCUUGUCGGGUAAGUUCCGACCCGCACGAAUGGUGUAACGAUCUGGGCGCUGUCUCGACGGAGGGCCCGGCGAAAUUGAAGUGGCCGUGAAGAUGCGGCCGACCCGCGAUAGGACAAAAAGACCCCGUGGAGCUUUACUGCAGCUUGGCAUUGGUCCGGGGGAUGCGUUGCGUAGGAUAGGCGGGAGCCUGUGAUGCGGUCCUCUCGGGGGCCGCGGAGGCAACGGUGAAAUACCGCUCUGCGUGUUCUCUGGAUCUAACGGCGCGCAAGCGCGCGGACAGUGCCUGGUGGGCAGUUUGACUGGGGCGGUCGCCUCCCAAAGAGUAACGGAGGCGCCCAAAGGUUCCCUCGGGCCGGAUGGAAAUCGGCCGAUAGAGUGCAUUGGCAUAAGGGAGCCUGACAGAGAGGGCAACAACCCGAUCUGGGGCGAAAGCCGGGCAAAGUGAUCCUACGGCACCGUGUGGAAGGGCCGUGGCUUAACGGAUAAAAGUUACCCCGGGGAUAACAGGCUUAUCCUGCCCAAGAGUUCACAUCGACGGCAGGGUUUGGCACCUCGAUGUCGGCUCGUCGCAUCCUGGGGCUGGAGUCGGUCCCAAGGGUUGGGCUGUUCGCCCAUUAAAGCGGUACGCGAGCUGGGUUCAGAACGUCGUGAGACAGUUCGGUCUCUAUCCAUCGUGGGCGCAGGAGGCUUGAGGGGAGCCGCUCCCAGUACGAGAGGACCGGAGCGGACGGACCGCCGGUGUGAGGGUUGUCCCGCCAGGGGCACAGCCCUGUAGCUGACGUCCGGAACGGAGAAGCGCUGACAGCAUCUAAGCGCGAAGCCGGCCCCAAGAUGAGGCCUCCCAUCACGCAAGUGAGUAAGGCCGGUUGUAGACCACAACCUUGAUAGGCCGUGGGUGGAAGAUCGGUAACGAUUGCAGCCACGCGGUACUAAUGGCCGAGGGC